CCCAUUAGUAUGCUCCAUUAAAAAGGUCUCUGCUCUUCCUGUGACCUUUGUGAAGAAGCCACACCAGCCUGUCCAACUUCAAUGGCAUUUUUCAUCACCUGAAAAUGACAUGGUCCAGUUUCGGUCACAGCGAUACCAAGCCUACAGACCCUGCUCCUUCUGCUCCGCUUUCCCUCAGCACAGCUCAUUCCAGUCCUCAUCUUCUUCCAGAAGUGAUCUGGAAAUCCUCAAACAAUUGCUGGUCUC